UACGUAGGGACCAAGCGUUGUUCGGAUUUACUGGGCGUAAAGGGCGCGUAGGCGGUUUGUCAAGUCAGUUGUGAAAUCUCCGAGCUUAACUCGGAACGGUCAACUGAUACUGUCAAACUAGAGUACAGAAGGGGCAAUCGGAAUUCUUGGUGUAGCGGUGAAAUGCGUAGAUAUCAAGAGGAACACCUGAGGUGAAGACGGGUUGCUGGGCUGAUACUGACGCUGAGGAGCGAAAGCGUGGGGAGCGAACAGG
rnacentral:rRNA from 1 species